rnacentral:rRNA from 1 species
UACGGAGGAUCCAAGCGUUAUCCGGAUUUAUUGGGCUUAAAGGGUGCGUAGGCGGUUUAAUAAGUCAGUGGUGAAAGCCUGCAGCUUAACUGUAGAAUUGCCAUUGAUACUGUUAGUCUUGAGUCCAGUUGAGGUGGGCGGAAUGUGUCAUGUAGCGGUGAAAUGCUUAGAUAUGACACAGAACACCGAUUGCGAAGGCAGCUCGCUAGACUGGUACUGACGCUGAGGCACGAAAGCGUGGGUAGCAAACAGG